AUGCGGUUCUCUCAACCAAAGAAUGUUUGCAUGCAAGAAAACGGAUGCAAGUGCAGAUACCCGAGGUCGUUCAAUGAAAACACAACACAGGGGAAGGACUCGUAUCCAGUUUAUCGACGUAGAGACGACGGUAGACGUGCUAAGGUCCGAGGGAAGAUGUUGGACAACAGAUGGGUUGUGCCUUAUAACCCAUACCUUCUGCGGAUGUUCAAUUGCCACAUCAAUGUUGAGGUCUGCUCUAGCAUAAAGGCCGUCCAAUAUCUUUACAAGUACAUCUACAAGGGCCAUGAUAAGGCUUCUUUCAGCAUUGACCAGCCCGACGCCGAUGGGAACAUUGAUGAGAUCAAGAGACACGUUGACGCAAGAUGGGUCACCCCUCCGGAGGCUAUGUGGAGGAUAUUUGGCUUCCCACUUUGCGCCAAUCACCCACCUGUCUUGCAGUUGCCUCUUCACCUCCCGAAUAUGCACAGGGUUGCAUUCAAUGCGCAGGCUGACUUGAAUAACGUUGUGACCUUCAAAAAAGCUUCAAAAUCCAUGUUAACGGAGUAUUUCAAGGCUAACCAGGAACACCCUUGGGCUAGACAUAUAUUGUAUAAGAAUUUUCCAAGAAGCUUCACGUGGCAGCAACAAAAGAAGUCUUGGAAGCCUCGGGUCGAGAGUUUUCAAAUAGGUCGCAUCGUGUCUGCCAAUCCAGCCGAGGGGGAGCGAUACUACCUGCGUGUAUUGCUGAACCAUGUUACGGGCAAAACCUCAUUCGACGACUUGCUCACCGUGGGCGGCGUGCUAUGUGGGAGCUUUAGAGAGGCUGCUGAACGGUUGGGUCUCAUCGAGGCAGAAAACACGCUUGACGACUGUCUUAAUGAGGCUGAGCAGUGGGCGUUGCCAUGUUCUCUUAGGAGACUCUUCGCAACCAUCUUGGUGCAUUGUGAGCCAGGCAACGUGCGCGGUUUGUGGGAUAGGCACCUCGAGCCUAUGUCAGAUGACUAUCAUCGAACACGCACGUCGACCAAGGAGGUGGAGCAGUUGGUGUUGCUUGACAUUAGGGCUAUGUUGCAGUCCAUGGGUAAAGGCGUUGUUGAUUUCGCUCUUCCAAUCAUCGAUGAUGCGUUUGACCCAACCGAUGGUGAGUGUAGAGAGGUUAUAGAGGAAUCAACCGUUGAGUUUGGCAUGGAUGACACUAAAUUGGCAUCUUCCCUGAACUUGGAGCAGAGGGCUGCAUACAAUGAGAUACUGGUGGUUGUUGAACGCGGUGAUGGGGGUGUAUUAUUUGUUGAUGGCCCUGGAGGUAUAGGGAAGACCUUCUUAUACAGGGCGAUGUUUGCCAAGGUGAGGAGCGAGGGCAAGAUUGGUAUCGCUACCGCGACGUCGGGCGUCGCCGCUUCUAUAAUGCCUGGCGGCAGGACAGCCCACUCGAGGUUCAAGAUACCACUGAGUUGCGAUGAUGGUGCCUCAUGCAGCUUCACCAAGCAAAGUGGGACUGCCAAGCUGCUUAGGAUGGCCUGA
rnacentral:rRNA from 1 species